UUGAUUUUUCCUGUGAAAAAUUGUUUUAAGCCUUUUAUCUCUACUAAGGUGAAUUUUAGUACAUUGCAUUUUUCAAGGAUGCUAUCCAAUUAUUUAAUUUUUCAAAUAUAUUUGUAUAGAGUCAAACAAAAUAGUCUGUAAGAAUCUUUUAAAAUUUACUUUGUUUCAAGGUUAUUUCCCCCAUAACAUUUUUAAAUUCAUAUAUCUGUGCUUUCUCCUUUUUUUUCUGAGUUAGAUUAGGUGGUAGUUUAUCUAGUUUAUUAAUUUUUCCUCAAGAACAAGCAUUUUGAUUGAUUUAUCAAUUUUGUUAUAUUUUUGCUUGCUGUUUUAUUAAUUUCUACUUCUAUAUUUUAAAAAAUUUUUCUUCUGCUUCCCCCAUCCCCUACCUACUUUUCUGAGUUGGGAAUUUAAUUCAUUUAUUUUUAUUUAUCUAAGUAUCAUAAGUAUGUAGAGCUAUGUAUUUUCCUAUAGUCACUGUUUUAAUUGUAUCUCAUAAAUGUCUUAGGAAGAGUUCAUGAAUAUUUUCUGAGUUUCCAUCUGUAUCAAACUGUUUCCCUAUAGGCUUGGUACUUUAAAAACAGUCUGCCUACAUAUAACACUCUGGGCUCAUAUUUUCCUUUUUUGAGUUUCUUAAAACUGUUCUUGCACAGUUUUCUUGCUUUGUAUGCUGUUUUAUGAUCUUAUUUCCUUUGUAAGUGAUUUGGCCUUUUUUGCUUGGAUGCCCAGAAGAUUGCUUGUAUAUAUUUAAUGUCUAAUAGGCCUAUUAUACUGUGUCUUAGAUGUAUGUCUAUAUAUUACAAUUGACCAUUCUGGGUUAGUCUUCUUAGGUACACAAAUAUAUCCAAGUUUUCUUUUAUUUAUACAAAGUUUUAUUGGAUUGUGGUUUAAUAUGUGAUUAAAUAUGUGAUUUCUCUCAUUUCAUUGUUUUUGUUUUUCUUGCCAGAAACCCAAAUGAUAAUGCCCAGUCUUCUUUCUCUCUGAUGGUUUUCACCUUAUUUAUUUUGUUUUCAUUUUCUUGGAAUUUUUCAUAUAUUUUUAAACUUCUGCUUUGAGAGAAAUCAAUUUUCUCUUGAGUACUUUGAAAUUAUUCUUCCUACAUAAGAUGUUUUUGCCUUUUUCUUUAAUUUCCCUCCUGGGGACUAUCUUUUUUUCGUAUAUUACUUUAUUUAAUUCUGCUUUUCUGAUUUAACAUUUUUUCUUUUUGCAAAAUAUUUGUUUAAAAUAUUUAAUUCAAGAUGGGGUGUUAUGUUACAGAUUGUUUUCAGAGCCUCCAGUUAAAUUGGGGUUCCAGCACCUGUGUGGAUAGCUAAGGGGAAAUGAAGGGGAGCUGGAUAUGGUUGUUUACAAGGUGUCUUUCACGGGACACAUCUUUUACCUGGCAGACAGCCUAGUGUCUAGUUGUCUAACCUGUGACCAGGAAGAUUUCUCACACAGGAAACUUGUUUAUACUGGCAGAUGCCCUUUUGGCUCUUGUCUGACCUGUGUUCAGUUUAUGCCUGCCUGACCAUUGCUCUGGUUCUGGGAGCUCAACUUUGUGCUUCCCCGUCCCAUGUCAGGGAAAGAUAGGCCUGGCGUAGCCCCUGAUUCUUCAGAUGGAAGGUGGGAAUUCAAUACUCCAGCACAAAAGGAAACAAUUAAAAGAUUGUACUUACAAAUCUUGGGCAAGGAAGGUGGGAUGGCAGUCCUCUGUCCUAGGGUCAUGUGAGGCAGAAAUGAAGGAGUCAGGCAGAGAGACAGGGCAUGUGGCAAAUAGUUGUAUGUAUAAGGGAAUACAGUGUGGGUUAUUUUAAGUUCUUAGGCAAAUAUCUGACAGAUUCACUUAAAAGGAAACAGCGGAAGAGUGGGUAGUCCUAUUGAGAGACAGGACUAGCUGGAUUUCCUAAGUCGACUAAGAAUUCCUAAGCCCAGCUGGGGAAGGUUACCACACCCACCUUUAAACGCGGGGCUUGUAACUCAGCUCACACCGGACCCAUCAGGUAGUAAAUAGUGCUCACUAAAAUACCAAUUAGGGUAAAAGCAGGAGGUAAAGAAAUAGUCAAAUCAUCUACUGCCUGAGAGCACCGGGGAGAGACAAUGAUCGGAAAAUAAAUCCAGGCCUUUGUGCCAGCAGGGGCAACCCCCUCUGGGUCCCCUCCCAUUGUAUGUGAGCUCUGUUUUCAUUCUAUUAAAUCUUGCAACUGCACAUUCUUCUGGUCCGUGUUUCUGCCGGCUCAAACUGAGCUUUCGCUCUCCAUCCACCAUGGCUGAACGCCACAGUCGCAGACCUGCCGUUGACUUUCAUCCCUCUGGAUUUGGCAGGGUGUCCACUGAGCUUCUGAUUCAGCGAGGUGCUCAUUGCUGCUCCCAAUCAGGCUAGAGGCUCGCCAUUGUUCCUGCACCGGGAAGUGCCCGGGUUCAUCCUAAUUAGGCUGAACACUAGUCUCUGGGUUCCAUGGUUCUCUUCCGUGACCCACAGCUUCUAAUAGAGCUAUAACACUUACCGCAUGGCCCAAGGUUCCAUUCCUUGGAAUCCCUGAGGCCAAGAACCCCACGUCAGAGAACAAAAGGCUUGCUGCCAUCUUGGGAGCAGCCGGCCCCAUCUUGGGAGUGGCCCACCACCAUCUUGGGAGCUCUAAGAACAAAGACCUGCUGGUAACACUAUCUCUGGCCACCUAUCUCUGGCCUAUCUAUCUCUGGUUCCUAUCUCUGGCCAUGGCUUGAGCCAUUUGGGUGCAGUGAACAGGAAACUGUAAAGAGUGACAGCCCUGCUUCUACAAAAUGGAUGCCAAGUUGUUCCUGCGCGCUCACUCUCUCUCCUGCCACCUUGUGAUGAAGAUGCCUGCUUCCUCUUCUGUCAUGAUUGUAAGUUUCCUGAGGCCUCCCCAGCCAUGUGCAAAUCUAUGAUUUCUGCAGUGAGAAGUACUGACUAUGAAAUAUUAGUCGAUUAAGUCAAGAAACCUCUGGCUUGGUAUCAAGGAAAGUACAGUUUCCAGUUCAUCUGACAAACCUGCUGUUUUGUUCAUCAUGCAAAAUAGGAAAACAUUGCUUCAUCUUCAUUAAACUCUGUGGGCAGAGAGAGGGUGUUCCUCGUGUUUCUGAGCAUCUGAGAGGUAACAAGGGCUCUGUGCAAUUCGUGUUUUAAGAUCUGGAUCCUUCAAAAGCCCCGUUGUUACUGGUUCCUGAAACAAGGCUGUCAUAAAACUCAAG
rnacentral:lncRNA from 10 species